rnacentral:rRNA from 1 species
CCGCGUGGAGGAUGACACUUUUCGGAGCGUAAACUCCUUUUGUUGGGGAAGAAAUUUGACGGUACCCAACGAAUAAGCACCGGCUAACUCCGUGCCAGCAGCCGCGGUAAUACGGAGGGUGCAAGCGUUACUCGGAAUCACUGGGCGUAAAGGACGCGUAGGCGGAUUAUCAAGUCUUUUGUGAAAUCUAAUGGCUUAACCAUUAAACUGCUUGAGAAACUGAUAAUCUAGAGUGAGGGAGAGGCAGAUGGAAUUGGUGGUGUAGGGGUAAAAUCCGUAGAGAUCACCAAGAAUACCCAUUGCGAAGGCGAUCUGCUAGAACUCAACUGACGCUAAUGCGUGAAAGCGUGGGGAGCAAACAGGAUUAGAUACCCUGGUAGUCCACGCCCUAAACGAUGUAUACUAGUUGUUGCUCUGCUAGUCAGGGCAGUAAUGCACCUAACGGAUUAAGUAUACCGCCUGGGGAGUACGGUCGCAAGAUUAAAACUCAAAGGAAUAGACGGGGACCCGCACAAGCGGUGGAGCAUGUGGUUUAAUUCGAAGAUACGCGAAGAACCUUACCUGGGCUUGAUAUCCUAAGAACCUCUUAGAGAUAAGAGGGUGCUAGCUUGCUAGAACUUAGAGACAGGUGCUGCACGGCUGUCGUCAGCUCGUGUCGUGAGAUGUUCGGUUAAGUCCGGCAACGAGCGCAACCCACGUAUUUAGUUGCUAACAGUUUGGCUGAGCACUCUAAAUAUACUGCCUUCGUAAGGAGGAGGAAGGUGUGGACGACGUCAAGUCAUCAUGGCCCUUAUGCCCAGGGCGACACACGUGCUACAAUGGCAUAUACAAUGAGACGCAAUAUCGCGAGAUGGAGCAAAUCUAUAAAAUAUGUCCCAGUUCGGAUUGUUCUCUGCAACUCGAGAGCAUGAAGCCGGAAUCGCUAGUAAUCGUAGAUCAGCCA